UGAAGCCUGAACUCGAGUAGGGCCCAAGCAAGCCAGGAAGGAGGAGGUAGCCCGAGUGUUCUCGGCAGCAGAAGACCCCUUGCUGCCCUGCUUAACCCAGACCAGCAUUUGCCAGAAGCAUAUGGCAAAUGCUGCCAAGAAGUUCUCCCCUGGUGGUUCUGCAUCCCUUUUGAAGUUGGAGGCAGUCUGAGUUCUUUGUCUGCCUGACUAGCCUACUCCAGGGGCCUGGAGACACGGGUUUUCUUGUGGAGCUCUGGAAACCAGCAUGGAGUGGAGUCUGGCAGGUGGGCAUAUUCAGGCCGAUCCCGAAAAGCACUUACCUUGGCAGGUGAAGCAUCUGAUGUGGAAAUGAUUACUCUGGACACGCACCACCUCCCCUUUACAGGUGUCUCCACAGCGAUAGCACUGGAUUAUGUGCCAUUUAAACAAAGAAAGAUCUAAGGCAACUGGGAAAGACCUCUGUCAGAUGGAAUAAGCUGCUUUCAGUCAGAGUGGACAAUACUUGGCUCAAUGGUCCAAAGGGCAUAUGGCAGCUCCGCAUGACAGUGUUCACCCUUGAUCCUCCAGCCCUUAAAGGCCUCAAAGGGCAUCGUGCAAGUAUGCAAGGUAAGUGCCCCAGCUCUGCAACUCCAUUCAUUCAGAACCAGACCAUUCCAAGAAGAAACUGUAGCAAGAGGGAUUUCUCCGCCAUGCCUUCACUCUCGACUCCCACAUCCAUCUCUGUACGAAUGGAAACAUCAAGCUCUUGGUAUUUGUCUGUGUGCUACCAAAGGUGUCACCACCCGACAUGCUGAUGUUUGGGGCGAAAGAAAAGCACAGGACUUUUGCAUUCCUGGUGAGAGAUGCCUUUCCAUAGAGAUCCUCAAUUCUCAUGGGAAUCGUCACAUCAGAAGUGAAGGUCAGAUUUUCCAAGGUUUGUUUGACUAGACUCUCAGAAUUCUCCAGGGAAGCAUCUGCAUGUAUUUGAGCCCUUUCAAAGCAGGUAGUAGAUUGUAGAGAAUCCCAGGAGAAUUGAUUGAGAGAUAAGAACUCUCUAACCCUUUUGAAUCCCCUAAGCACUCUGCAAAGGAAAGAGGUUUCCUUACAUCUGUUUCUUUUUCCUUGAUGCUUGCUCAGCAAAACCUAUUCUACAGACCCUAUCAAACAAAAACAACCCCUCACCCCCACACUUAAGCACUGUGUUCUUGCUAGAUUGUCCUGGUGGCUGAUUCCUCAUCUAAUAGGAGGGAAGGGUCACCUUGUUGCCACAGUGGGCAGAAAACUGGUUUGCAACUGCAGUUUUAAAAUGCAUGUGGGGAGCACUCUCCUGUUAGAGAGAAGGUGCACACAGAUUUCAAAAGAUGAUUAAAAACUGAAAGUGGUGAAAUAGCGUGUUUGGGUUAGCGGGGAGUGGACUUGUGUUAUUGAUCACCAGUAAUGCCACCGGCAUUAACUAUUACUAAUAGGUGCCUAUGACAACACAAUGCACAUAGUAUGAGCAACAACAACCCACUUUCUUAGGAAAAUAAUGUCUUUUCCCAGUAACCAAAUACUGCAGCAUGAUGGCUGGAAUAAUACAAGUUGCUCACAGCUGAAUUGAUACCUUGGGAAAAGGUGUGCUGAUUUCUUACAGCACACAAGUAAUAACUGUUUCUUAAUUAUGCAAGACAACACUUGUCUGGAAGGGCCUUAAGAUGUUUGUUUUUCAUACUGCUGCAGUAUGAAAGCUACAUUUCAUUUUUGCCCCGGGUGCUUAUUUCCGAGUCCUCUCCACAGUCAUCCUUGCCUUCUAUGAUUCCUAUGGGAAAACAGGAUCCAAAGUAUUUGAGAUUAUACCUUUUUACUGAACUACCUCUCUUGAUAGGGCAGGACUGCUUCAGGCUGCAUUGAAGUAUUCCAGGCUUCUGAAAUAUGUCGCACCCAGCUGUCUGGAUAGACUGACUGAAAUGGACGGUUUAAAUUUGGCCAAAGAAAUACCUUCUGAGCUUUGAGAGAUUGAAGCUUGAAGGAAGCCAUGCUUCCUGGGGCUAGCACUGCUUCCCUGUGCUUCUGUUUACUUGCCACCUGCUCAACUCUACAUUUGUAAGUAAACAUAAGUCACAAAAACACCAUUUCAUUCUCCAGUAUAAUCUCCUCUAAAGGCAAAGAACUCUGUAAAUAGAGAUGCCCUGGAACGUCUUACCAUUCAGGGACACACGAAUCAUGAAACCACUUGACAGUGUGCAAAUGCAGUUACAAUCAUGCUAAGCUUAGUCACAGGGUUUGUUGACACAAAGGGAGGGGGCUAGCAUUUAGAGGAGGAGAAUUUUGCAAAGAUUAAAGAUGAUACAGACUACAAAGCACAGUGUAAGGCAUCUCCUCAAAGCUCUUUUGUGGUUUCCUGUCCCCUUCUGCAUCUAUCAUAAGCUCUUUGUACUUGCCUAAAAGCUUUCCAUGGAUUUGCCCCACCCAAUGGCCGAAUUCAGAUGUAGCAUGAAACCGGUGUUAAAUGGGGCAGAGCUUGGAACUCCAUUACAUCCGAAUUCGUGCAACCGUGGUUUCAAGUUGAAAGUGACCAGCAAUUUGCCUCACCAAACUCCACUCUGAAUCUUUGGUUUGCACAAAUGUUUGUUGCUGAGACCUCCAGUUUGGCCGCUAAAUAGUUACGUCUGAUCCUGGACACCGUCAUGACCGUGGCUGCAUUCCAAUUCUCAAACUGCAGUCAUAGAAACUGUGGUGCAGACCUACCCAGGAACGUGGCCACUCCAUGGCUGCAGCGUUCCUCACUGGCUGCUUCUCCGAGCAGCAGCUCUGCCUCUCCUGUCACCCAUCCAGCUAUGGAGUUGCCCAGCAACAGGGACAGCACCACGUCCCAUCCCAAGCUUGUCAGCCUGUCAAGUGGCAAAGUCACACAGGGGCAUUCCCUCUUCCCUCUCUGUCCCUUGCUGUCCCACCAGGCUAGCAGGAGGGGAAGGGGAUGGGAUGGCAAGAUGGGCACUAAGUGCUUUGCUCCCCGAGAAUGAAGCAACAAUGAUGUAUGUUCACAAGCACAAACACUCCAGGUGGCAACAUAAACAGGGCACCCCAUCACAGUGCCCGGAGGGGAACAAAUGGCUGGAGGGGUGUGUGUGCCCAGGGUUGGGUUGAAAAGGCAGCCCCAAAUGAGGAUUAUUGAGCAGCCAAGUUCUAUUCUUUUUCACAUAAAGGUUGGGGAAGGGGGGGCAGCCCCUUCCCCAUGGGGGUUUGUGGUCCCUAGGCUUGCUCAUGAGCAGGGCUAGUCACCAGGGUCAGCAUUGCUCCAGUCAAAAGAGCAAUUCAACAUAUGUAAUGAUGAUGACCCAAGGAGGACCGUGCUUGUUCAAAAGAGUGCCAAGCCAUGAGGACACCCCCUCACAACUCAUGAGAAGAACCAUCAGAGGGGAGGGGAGUGAAUUGCCGAGCAAAAUCACUAAUAAUGUCUGAUGAUAAAAUAACCCUUCUCCCACAGAACACUCUCUCACAAGAGUGUCAGCUCUAUAUAAAGUGAGCUUACUAUAUGGAGGAAAGCUGUGGGGACAGGUACCCUGGUGACUGUUCUCCCUGUUGUGGUGACUGUCACCAAGUAGCUGUCAUAGUUUGCUCCCUGCCAGUCCAUCUGUGGGCAUG